rnacentral:rRNA from 1 species
AAUAUUGCGCAAGGGAGGGAACUCUGACGCAGCGAGGCCGCGUGAGCGAUGAAGGUCUUCGGAUCGUAAAGCUCUGUUCUUGGGGAAGAAGGUCUUAGGACUUGACGGUACCUAAGGAGGAAGCCCCGGCCAACUUUGUGCCAGCAGCCGCGGUAAUACGUAUGGGGCAAGUGUUGUCCGGAAUUAUUGGGCGUAAAGGGUGCGGAGGGGGCCUUUUAAGUCAGAUGUGAAAGCCCACGGCUUAACCGUGGGACUGCAUUUGAAACUGGAGGGCUUGAGUAUCGGAGAGGGUAGUGGAAUUCCCAGUGUAGCGGUGGAAUGCGUAGAUAUUGGGAGGAACACCAGUGGCGAAGGCGACUACCUGGACGAAAACUGACGCUGAGGCACGAAAGCUAGGGGAGCAAAC